rnacentral:lncRNA from 1 species
UGUAGAAGGUGGUGUGGGGAUAAAAGAGGGAUGAAUAUAUGGUGUUUGCCCUACCACUGAAGGAGUAGGCACUACAGUAGGAGGUGUGGGCCCUACAACUGAAGGAGUGGGCCCUAUAGUAGAAGGAGUGGGCCCUAUAGUAGAAGGAGUGGGCCCUAUAGUAGAAGGUGUGGGCCAGACAGAAGGUGUGGGCGCCGUAGAAGGGUGGUGGACGUGAGGAUCCAACAUCUGGUCAAGUACUGGCAUUGGAAAAUGGUAUCUCCGAAGGAACUCUAACAACGUACUUCGCCUUCCUAGCCUUUUUUACCGUCUUGCCCUUGUUAGGACGUGAAGGCUCCUGUCCUGACAUUACUGUAAUUUAAAAUAUAUAAAUAAAUAGACAAUUAAACGCAAAGUAGGCAAUUUGUAUUUAAUAAAUGAUUUAAUAUUAUAUAAUCGUGAAUCGUAGAAAUGUCAAAAUACAAGCAUUUAAUUAAUUCAAUCGUCUUCAUCAUCCUCAUUGUCAUCGUUGUUUGAUGCGUCACUAUGAUCAUCAUAGUCAUCAUCAUCAUCUUCAUCAUCGUCUUCUUCGUCAUCUUCAAGUUCUUCAUCAUCGUCGUCUUGUUCUUCAUCUCGUUCUUCUCCUUCUUUUUCAUGUUCUUGUAUCUGUCCUUCUAACUCUUCAGCAUCACCAUCGAAGUCUUGCAAUGCAGAUACACCUUCAACUUCAAUAAUUUCAUUUCCAUGUGUCAUUUCAUCAACUUGGAAAGGGAUAUCGUCUUCAACAUCAUUUGACUCAAUGCGACCCCUAGGCUUGGUUUGUAUUGCAACACAC